UUCGUUGAAAUACUAUAAUUUGGAAUUGUGGUAGGAUCUUUGCAGGGUUUAAUGUGGACCAAGCUACGGCGAUAACCUGCACCAUUUACCUCCACCUGGAAAGAACGUUCACUUAAGCGAUUCGACACAGUGCCACGAGACCAUUCUUUUGAAAUUUCUGGAUUUAACGCACAUAUACUGGCGAUCCAACUUAAAGAUCAGAAUUCGGAACACCUUCGACAACCUUUGGGAAUAGAUUUUUCGCCGAUGUCGGUAUACCGCACUUCGUGGAUCUCGAAAAAAAACGGGCCGCUGGACUGGAACCUAUUUUAUUGGUAAACGUUUAGCGAUCUUCACGGCUGCCUCCGCUUUCCCGUUAGAUUGCUGGUGAUGAGGAGAUGAUGUAGUGUGCUGAAAAUCCCAUUCGAUGGCGAAUUCUUCGUACCGUUAUGUUAGUAUAAUUUGUGGCUUUCCGUGACAGGCGAAGUUCUCCUUGCAGGCGGCUAUAACUGAUUCAGGUUUCAAAUCUUUCAAGAUAUUAACUUCAAAGUAAUCCGAGUAAUGGUCAACUGUCACAAGAAAUGCUCUCUUAGUUCCUUGGUAAUCAGAGAAAAACACAUCCAUGGAAACAAAUUGAAAAGGGUACACUGGAAUGCCGUGAGUCAUCAUAGGCGGAUUGGAUUGAGAUGCAGCAAAUUUAGCACAUGUUGCACACGACUGGAUAGCUUCUUUUAUCUGAGCACUCAUUCCUGGCCAAAAGACAUUCGCUCGAGCCAGCUUCAACGUAGCUUCAAUUCCGUUAUGACUUGCGUGACAAAUAUCAAUGAGCUUCCUGCGCAAAGGUUGCGGUACCAGGAUUCUAUCGUUCCGGAAAAUAAGUCCGUCUUGGGUGGACAGCUCUUGCGAGUAACGAAUAUAAAUCUUCACACUAUCGGGCACUUGGUCAGCCGUUGUUGGCCAACCAUUCAGGAUGUAUUCGAUGAUGAGCUGCAUCGUCGAGUCUUUUGCUGU